rnacentral:rRNA from 1 species
CAGUAGCCGCGGGAAUACGUAGGUGGCAAGCGUUGUCCGGAAUUAUUGGGCGUAAAGGGCUCGCAGGCGGUUUCUUAAGUCUGAUGUGAAAGCCCCUGGCUUAACCGGGGAGGGUCAUUGGAAACUGGGAAACUUGAGUGCAGAAGAGGAGAGUGGAAUUCCACGUGUAGCGGUGAAAUGCGUAGAGAUGUGGAGGAACACCAGUGGCGAAGGCGACUCUCUGGUCUGUAGCUGACGCUGAGGAGCGAAAGCGUGGGGAGCGAACAGGAUUAGAUACCCGGGUAGUCCCUGUCUCUUAUAC